GUCUCCGUAGCUCAGUAGGAUAGAGCACAGGAUUCCUAAUCCUGGGGUCGCAGGUUCGAAUCCUGCCGGGGACGCCA
rnacentral:tRNA from 1 species